rnacentral:rRNA from 1 species
AGCGUAGGCUGCGUAGUAAGUCAGAUGUGAAAUCCCGGGGCUCAACCCCGGAACUGCAUCCGAUACUGCUAUGCUAGAGCAAUGGAGAGGUAGCUGGAAUUCUUGGUGUAGCAGUGAAAUGCGUAGAGAUCAAGAGGAACACUCGUGGCGAAAGCGAGCUACUGGACAUUUGCUGAGCUGAGGCUCGAAGGCUGGUAGGCGAAAG